GGGUUGUGAGGUUAAGCGACUAAGCGUACACGGUGGAUGCCCUGGCAGUCAGAGGCGAUGAAGGACGUGCUAAUCUGCGAAAAGCGUCGGUAAGGUGAUAUGAACCGUUACAGCCGGCGAUGUCCGAAUGGGGAAACCCAGUGCAAUUCGUUGCACUAUCGUUAACUGAAUACAUAGGUUAACGAGGCGAACCGGGGGAACUGAAACAUCUAAGUACCCCGAGGAAAAGAAAUCAACCGAGAUUCCCCCAGUAGCGGCGAGCGAACGGGGAGCAGCCCAGAGUCUGAAUCAGCUUGUGUGUUAGUGGAACGGUCUGGAAAGUCCGACGGUACAGGGUGAUAGUCCCGUACACCAAAAUGCACAGGUUGUGAACUCGAAGAGUAGGGCGGGACACGUGGUAUCCUGUCUGAAUAUGGGGGGACCAUCCUCCAAGGCUAAAUACUCCUGACUGACCGAUAGUGAACCAGUACCGUGAGGGAAAGGCGAAAAGAACCCCGGCGAGGGGAGUGAAAAAGAACCUGAAACCGUGUACGUACAAGCAGUGGGAGCACCUUCGGGUGUGACUGCGUACCUUUUGUAUAAUGGGUCAGCGACUUAUAUUCUGUAGCAAGGUUAACCGUAUAGGGGAGCCGCAGGGAAACCGAGUCUUAACUGGGCGUUAAGUUGCAGGGUAUAGACCCGAAACCCGGUGAUCUAGCCAUGGGCAGGUUGAAGGUUGGGUAACACUAACUGGAGGACCGAACCGACUAAUGUUGAAAAAUUAGCGGAUGACUUGUGGCUGGGGGUGAAAGGCCAAUCAAACCGGGAGAUAGCUGGUUCUCCCCGAAAGCUAUUUAGGUAGCGCCUCGUGAACUCAUCUUCGGGGGUAGAGCACUGUUUCGGCUAGGGGGUCAUCC
rnacentral:rRNA from 1 species